rnacentral:rRNA from 1 species
GUAACACCCGAAGUCCGUGAGGUAACCGUAAGGAGCCAGCGGCCGAAGGUGGGAUUAGUGAUUGGGGUGAAGUCGUAACAAGGUAGCCGUAGGAGAACCUGCGGCUGGAUCACCUCCUUUCUAGGGAG